rnacentral:rRNA from 1 species
UGUGUAGGCGGUUGCUUAAGUUUGGUGUGAAAUCUCCCGGCUCAACUGGGAGGGUGCGCCGAAUACUGAGUGACUAGAGUGCGGGAGAGGAGAGUGGAAUUCCUGGUGUAGCGGUGAAAUGCGUAGAUAUCAGGAGGAACACCGGUGGUGUAGACGGCUCUCUGGACCGUAACUGACGCUGAGACACGAAAGCGUGGGUAGCAAACAGGAUUAGAUACCCUGGUAGUCCACGCCCUAAACGAUGCGUAUUUGGUGUGGGCAGUUCAGUCUGUCCGUGCCGGAGCUAACGCGUUAAAUAUGCCGCCUGGGGAGUACAGUCGCAAGGCUGAA